UAAUUUUUAAGCGAAAAAUAAAUUUUAUUUCUUUUUUCUGUCAUGCAAUAAAAACGAAAAACUGUCACUCGCCUUAUUUUUUUAUGAGUGCAUAUUACGCCCUUCAGAAACUCGCCCAAAUUUGUUUUGAUUUGCUAAUUUCGCCUAAAUGCUUACGUCAUAUUUCAUUACUGUAAGUCAAUGUCGCCCUUUUACAUACUUUUUAAUUUUAAUUUAUAAUCUAUACAAUUUACAACGAUAUUAGUCGAUUUGUGUAUUAAAUCGUUGUGAAACAACUUUUUUUGCAUUCAUGAACGGUCGUCAGUGUGUACAGCAUCAGUGUUUCAUUUUUGAAGGCAGCAUCGGAUGACGGAUUUCAAGAUGAGACUGCUCCAUAGAUUCAGAGGCUACCUCGGAGACUGCACUAUAAGGAAGUGGCUUUGGAAAUUAUCGAAAUGACGGACAACAUGUACAUUGUUUUAACUUCGAGCUCUGAUUUGAUGCAGCCGAAUCACUCAAUCUUCGGACCUACAAUUUGGCUACAAACAUGGAUUGAAGGUUUUCAUCCCAGACGAAGUAGACGCGACCGCGCGAUGCGACGCGACGCUACAGUGCGUUUUGAUAGUUCAUUGAUAAUAAUUGUUAUUCAUUCGCGUGAGCUACGUCGCGUUUACUCUGGCGGGCACCGUAGGGCUAUCUUUAAACCCAAACCGUUACACAUAGGAUAUCGUGUCAAUUCAUUGCACGUAAACUUUCGUAAGAAACUGGGAUAAAGGUCAUUUAAGCACCAACUCAUAUCUCCAUCCCUAAUAUUCAUUACUCGGCAGAAUUAAUGGAUACAUUUUCAGCACUCUAUCGUGUAGAUUAGGACUCCGAAUAAUGAACGUUGCGGACGGAAAAAGCGGAUGCUGUUUAAAUUCUCCUUUAUCCUAUUAUUUUAACAGUGUCAUUAAUACUGUAAUUCAGAAAUCAAACAUGGUUGAUAUCACCGAGGAAUUCACCAACAAAAUUUGAUGAAACACAUGGCGAACUAACAAGACAUGAGACACCUAAUAUAUUUAUAACGAACGAUAGAUAGAAAUAAAAAUACGUUAUUCGAAUAA